CCGAGUACCGGGUCCUCUGGGCCCAUGCUCCCACCCUUUGUGUACCUACCUGUUUUUUCGUUGCCUCGGCGGGGUCGAUCCCCAGGGCCUGCCGGCCCCGUGGGGGACCCGCCGGGGGGACACGCCCUAAACUCCUGUCAACCGUGACGUCUGAGAGAGAAACAAACCAGUCA
rnacentral:misc_RNA from 1 species